GCCAGGUACAGUGGUGCAUGCCUGUAAUCCCAGCAGCUCGGGAGGCUGAGGCAGGAGGAUCACGAGUUCAAAGCCAGUCUCAGCAAAAAUGAAGCACUAAGCAACUCAGUGAGACCCUGUCUCUA
rnacentral:sRNA from 1 species